rnacentral:lncRNA from 1 species
UUUGCGAAUCUUUUCUCCUGACCUAUCAAAGCGACAUGUUUAUGAGGUUAGAUCUGAGAGUUAGAUAAACCAGUUCACAUGAUUAUCUCAUGAAAUAUGACUUUACGAUGCACAUCAGUUCUUUGUUGAAGAACAAAGACAAACCCAUAUAUUUAAAUUGAUGAAUGUGCUGGAGAUGUGCUGAUUUUCAAGACAUUUCUGUAAAAAUAACUUAGUCAGCGGG